UACAGAGGGGGCGAGCGUUAUUCGGAAUUAUUGGGCGUAAAGGGCGCGUAGGCGGCCUUUCAAGUGACGGGUGAAAUCCCUCGGCUUAACCGAGGAACUGCCUGUCAGACUGGAAGGCUUGAGACCGGGAGAGGUGAGUGGAAUUCCCAGUGUAGCGGUGAAAUGCGUAGAUAUGGGGAGGAACAUCAGUGGCGAAGGCGGCUACCUGGCCCAAUACUGACACUCAGGUGCGACAGCGUGGGGAGCAAACAGG
rnacentral:rRNA from 1 species